UGACAGACCGCACUGAAACACCACGAGAAGAGGUGCAUAUAGCUAACCUUCCUCUGUAUGUAUAUUAUACAUGAAAACACGAAAGGUCUAUUUUUAUAUUUUUGUUUUUUUAGAAUAUAGGAGACAUGGAUAUGGACUUUGGAGAUGCACAGAAAGAAUCCAUUGAGGGUUCAUAUGCGAUGUUGCUGCAAGGGGACAAAAAUUCACAACAUAAAAAUGUCGAAGAGGUUAUAUCUCAUAACAAACCAAAAAAGAUGCUAAUUUACAUGUUAUCUCACAAGACUAUGUUUGUACCCCUAGGGAUAUUACAGUCAUCGAAUCAAUCAAGUCUGCCCCCAAGAAUACCCAGUUCGUGGACAUUGGAGAUGCCUUGUUAUCAACCGACGAUUUGGAAUGCCUUAUGAAAGAUGAUAUGUUCUUACAUGACGGUGUGAUAAAUGCUUACAUAUAUUGCAUGCUUGCUCACGACCAUCUACAAGACAGAGCGGGUGAAAAGGUACACAUUGUUAGCACGUUUGUAUCUGGCCAGAUAAAAGAAGACGGGGAAAGAGACAUAGACCCAUCAAAAUAUCACCACAUCGUGCAUCAUGUUAAUACUUAUCUACAGCAAGACAUGGUUAGUUUUUGUCUCGUU